rnacentral:rRNA from 1 species
GCCCAGACUCCUACGGGAGGCAGCAGUGGGGGAUAUUGCACAAUGGGGGAAACCCUGAUGCAGCGACGCCGCGUGAGUGAAGAAGUAUUUCGGUAUGUAAAGCUCUAUCAGCAGGGACGAAAAUGACGGUACCUGAGUAAGAAGCCCCGGCUAACUACGUGCCAGCAGCCGCGGUAAUACGUAGGGGGCAAGCGUUAUCCGGAUUUACUGGGUGUAAAGGGAGCGUAGACGGUUAUGCAAGUCUGGAGUGAAAGGCGGGGGCUCAACCCCCGGACUGCUCUGGAAACUGUAUGGCUGGAGUGCAGGAGAGGUAAGUGGAAUUCCUAGUGUAGCGGUGAAAUGCGUAGAUAUUAGGAGGAACACCAGUGGCGAAGGCGGCCUGCUGGACGGUGACUGACGCUGAGGCUCGAAAGCGUGGGGAGCAAACAGGAUUAGAUACCCCGGUACCC